rnacentral:ribozyme from 13 species
GAUACUUGAGCAGAGACAAGAAAGGAGUUCACAACAACAAAAAGAAGACCAUAACUGAACAACCACAUUUUUACCUCUUUCUUCUUUCUUUCUUUCUUUCUUUCUUU